rnacentral:rRNA from 1 species
GUGUCAGCAGCCGCGGUAAUACGUAGGUAGCGAGCGUUAUUCGGAUUCACUGGGCGUAAAGGGUCCGCAGGGGGCCUGCCAAGUCGGAUGUGAAAGCUCAAGGCUCAACCUUGAAAUGUCAUCCGAAACUGGCGGGCUUGAGUGCACGAGGGGAAAGUGGAAUUCCUGGUGUAGCGGUGGAAUGCGUAGAUAUCAGGAGGAACACCGGCGGCGAAGGCGGCUUUCUGGCGUGCAACUGACCCUCAGGGACGAAAGUGUGGGUAGCAAACAGGAUUAGAUACCCUGGUAGUCCACACCCUAAACGGUGCACACUCGAUGUGGGACGAACUUUGGUCCGUUCCGUGUCUAAGCUAACGCAUUAAGUGUGCCGCCUGGGAACUACGGCCGCAAGGCUAAAACUCAAAGGAAUUGACGGGG